AGAGAAAGAGCAAAAAUUUUAUAUUUGUUUAUGUGUUUUUGAUGAUUGAUGAAUGUGCAGAGCAAAAUUAAAAACUUGAUUCAAAAUUGAAGAAGAAAGAGGAAGCAUUGAGAAAACAGCACGAGAUUUAGACGAAGUUGUCGAAAAUAGGUAACAUUCCAUUUUGUUCAUUGCAAAAUCGUUCGCUGCAUUAACAAUUCCCUGAUUUUAUUCACAGAGAAUUAAAAAUAUUCUGUGUUCCCAAUUACCAACGAUUAAAUUGUGAAGCUUUUUUUUGGUUGUCUCAAGUACGAACACAAAAUAAUUUUAUUGAUCACUGGACCUGUAAUUUCGGAUCUGAACGUAUAAGUUCGAAUCUAUUCCCGUGAUCUUUAAUAUUGGGUACAGUCACAGUUUUACCUUAAAGCCCAUUUCCACUCGGGAAAAUUUCCACGGACAGAAAGUUGUCCGAAAACAUAAUGGUUAAAAGUUGAAAAUGUUCAUCUUCAAAAUUUUUGCCGACGGAAAAUUUGUGUCGGCCAAUCAAAUUUUACAAAAUUUUCUUUCGGCUGAAAAUUUUCCUGAGUGAAAAUGGGCCUUUAAAUUAACAUCGGAAACGAUUUCUUCACAUCGGAAACGAUUUCUUCGAUAGCCGUUUAAGCUGUUUGUUUCGAUUCCUUUAACAUCGGAAACGAUUUCUUCGAUAGCCGUUUUAGCUGCUUGAUUUUAUUUGAUGUCAACGCUUCUUACUAUUUGGUGUAGGAUUUUGGAACUGGAAGCUUCUUUAACUACGAGAUGAACUGUUUGACUAUCAAGCAGAGCGAGGAAUCGUUGUUGCAAAG